rnacentral:rRNA from 1 species
GACGAACGCUGGCGGCAUGCCUAAUACAUGCAAGUCGAGCGAACAUUUAUGGAACCUUGCUUCUAUAUGUGUUCGCGGCGGGUGGGUGUGUCACACGUGGGCCACCUGUCCUGCAGUUGGGGAACAUCCCGGGACCGCGGGGCAUAUACCAGAUUAUCAGUUUGUGCGCGUGUCCAAACUCUAAAACACGGUUUCGGCUGUUUAUGCAGGAUGCGGCCGCGACGCAUUUGCUAGUUGGUGGGACAACGGCCUACCAAGGCAACGAUGCGUAGCCGACCUGAGAGGGUGAUCGGCCACACUGGGACUGAGACACGGCCCAGACUCCUACGGGAGGCAGCAGUAGGGAAUCUUCCACAAUGGGCGGAAGCCUGAUGGAGCAAUGCCGCGUGAGCGAAGAAGGUUUUCGGAUCGUAAAGCUCUGUUGUUAGGGAAGAACAAGUACGUAAGUAACUGCCCGUACCUUGACGGUACCUAAUUAGAAAGCCACGGCUAACUACGUG